GCGCUGAUUCGAAGUGCUACCACAUUACUGCUACUACUCAUCAUAUUUAUUAUUGUCUACGUUUUUGUCCUUUAUGUGACUAACUAAUAAAAUAUAUUGUGAUUUACGUACAUGUGUGUUGUUGUUUAUCGGAUCUAUGAGGUGGUGCUC